rnacentral:rRNA from 1 species
GCUUGUCUCAAAGAUUAAGCCAUGCAUGUCUAAGUAUAAGCAUUAUACAGUGAAACUGCGAAUGGCUCAUUAUAUCAGUUAUAGUUUAUUUGAUAGUCCCUACUAUUUGGAUAACCGUAGUAAUUCUAGAGCUAAUACAUGCGUACAGCCUCAACUCACGGAGAGGUGUAUUUAUUAGAUAAAAGGCCGACCGGGCUUUGCCCGACCCGCGGUGAAUCAUGAUAACUCUCACGAAUCGCAUGGCCUAGUGCCGGCGAUGUUUCAUUCAAAUUUCUGCCCUAUCAACUUUCGAUGGUAGGAUA